AUGGUGACUCAGAGACAGGGUCCUGGUCUGCCGCCCUGGCUAAAGUGCAUUGGCGCCAUCACAGCUCACUGCAGCCUCCAGCUCCUGAGCUCAAGCAGUCCUCUUGCCUCAGCCUCCCGAGCAGCUGGGACUACAGGCGUGAGCCACCACACCCAGCUUGAGGUGUUUUUCAGAACCAUUUGCGAAGGUGAGAAAAUAAGAAUUUACCGUUGGCUGUGGGUCCAAGGGGUCAUCUGUUAUUUCUCUCAGGACUGUCAGGUUAAGGGACUUUUUGGCGGGUGGCAUUUUCACUGCACCUUGCUGUUCCUCAGUUUCCCCCAGGGACUCUUUUGGUGGGUGGCAUUUUCACUGCACCUUGCUGUUCCUCAGUUUCCCCCAGGUGCUCCUCUGUGUGGGGGAAGGCCUGCCCUUCCUGGGAGGCGCAGGCCUAGCAGGUCCUUGUGGGUGUCCAGGUGGAGACCCACAGGCCUGCAGACCCAGCUGUGUGAUACACGCAUGCACCACCACACCCAGCUUAUGUUUGUAUUUUUAGUAGAUACGGGUUUUCACCAUGUUGGCCAGGCUGGUCUCAAACUCCUGACCUCAGGUGAUCCAGGUUUCCUGGGGACUGGCCUGCUUCUUUCUUGGGGACUCCAAAAGGAGGCUUUUUUCUCAGGCAGUUCGGCAUCUCCCAAGAAGGCCCCUGCAGUGCCCUGCUUGGGGUGGGGGGUUGGGGGUGGGGGUCCCUGUCUAGCUGACGGCAGCCUGAGCCAGGUGCAAGGAGGCUCUCGGGGCCACAAGUCAGGAGGCAUUCCCUCCUCCACCCCUCCCCAAGCCUUAGCCAUCCCGUGUCCCUCAGCCAUAACCCCUUAGAUCCAGUUUCUCCAGAGAAGCCCUUGUUUUGUCAGCUUUGGAAGGGUCAUUGCGCCUGGAGGGGGAGGGGUGUGGGCCCCCCCACAGCAACCUGUGCUCCCAGCCCCACCCCUGCUGUUCAUCCAUGCCGAGGUCACAGUAUUUGUUAUCUGAGCCUGUGGGAGGAGGACGGUGUCCUGCCGGUGGGCCUGGCGCUGGGCCUCCUGAUGUGCCCCAGCCAGCGGAGCAUGAGCAGCUGAUGAGCGUCCCCUCCCAGCGGAUGCUUGAGGAGCUGUGCCCCUUUCCAGAGCAGGGAGGGCUGUCUCAGGGAGGGCUGCUGGCUCCUGUGAGAAAGCAGGAAGAAGGACGGGGUGUGAGACAGUGGCUGAGCCUCCGAGAGCAGACUGUGCCUGCCUGAGGAAGCAUCCAGGCCGUCUGUCACCACAGCAGAGCUCCGCUGAGGCUGACAGCGACAUCUGCUGAGUCAGUCCGCCUCGGCUUUGGGCUAAAAUGUGGGGCAUCUCAGAAAUCUCUCAUCUUGCCGAGCACAGUGGCUCACGGCUGUAAUCUCUGCACUUUGGGAGGCUGAGGCGGAUGGAUCACUUGAGGUCAGGAGUUCAAGACCAGCCUAGGCAAUGUGGUGAAAUCCCAUCUCUACUAAAAGUAUAAAAAUUACCCGGGCAUGGUGGCACACACCUGUAAUCCCAGCUACUGAGGAGGCUGAGGCAGAGGUUCACCCACCCGGAACAACAGAGCGAGCCUUCGUCCUCCCCCGAAAAAAAACAAAACCAAAAAAUCUCUCAUCUACUGCUGUCCCCUCCCCAGCUUUUGUUUUGUUCUUGUGGGCUUUCCCCCUUGGGGGAAGUUUUAACAAUUCCUUCCCUGUUACUGUAGAAGGGCUUGGGAGGGAGAGAGGGCUAAGGAUCGUGGCUGCCCCGCGCUCUUUGGUCUUCGAUGCUUUGCUGGCCUCUGCCUGCUGUGCGGCUUCAAUCCAAGGCCUUUGGUUUUCUCGUGGACAUGUUGUCCGGUCAUCCCUUCCCCUAAGCGGGCUUGUGGGGACAAACUCCCUGAGUCGGGUGGGUCUGCAAAUGCCUAGAAUUCCUCUCAUGCUUGAAAGAUGAUGACUGGGUAUAGAUGUGAAGCUGUCACCCGUGCGCUCCAGUGGUACAUGUCAGUGUGAUUUACGUUCCUUUUUUCCUCAUAGCCUUCCUCUCUCCCCACCCGCCCCUUCCUUCCCUCCCUUCUACUUUAGUUUCCUGACAUGCACCUGGUGGCUUAGGACAAAAGACACUUACUACUCUCACAGUUCUGGGGGCUGAAGUCCAGAAGUCGGGGUGCUGGCAUUCUGAAGCCUCCAGGGCAGGGCCAGCGCAUGCCCUUCUCCUGGCUCAGGCACCUGCCAGCGGUCCCUGGGGGUCCUCGGCCUGUCACGGUAUCGCUCCAACAUCUGCUUCUCCCACCACGUGGCCUCCUCCCGGAGUGUCUGUGUCCAAAUCUCCCUCUCUGUAUAAAGACACAGUCACUGGUCAUGGGAGCCAUCCUAACUCAGGGGGACCCUUCUACCAGCCUGAUCACAUCUGCAAGGACUAUCUCCAACUCAAGCUGCACUCCCAGCUGCUGGGGACAGGCUUGAACAUAUUUUUUGUGGGGACACAAUUCCCCUCUCAGUUUUAAACAUUUGUGUUUAUCGGUUGGACAUGAUGACUCACGCCUGUAAUCCCAGCACUUUUGGAGGCUGAGGCGGGCGGAUCAUGAGGUCAGGAGUUUGAGACCAGCCUGGCCAACAUGGUGAAACCCUGUCUCUACUAAAAAUACAAAAAUUAGCUGGGUGCACCUGUGGUCCCAGCUACUCGGGAGGCUGAGGCAGGAGAAUUGCUUGAACCUGGGAGGCGGAGGUUGCAGUGAGCCGAGAUGGUGCCACUGCAUUCCAGCCUGGGCUACAGAGUGAGACUCUGUCUCAAAAAACAAAAAAAAACCAAGAUUUAUCUUUAUCAUUAAAGUUUUCAAAAUUAACUAUCAUGUGUCAGGUCAAGAUUUUGUUUUCCCCUUUAACCUGAAAACUUACAUUUCUCUUCAGUUUGGGGAAAAUUUUCCUGUGUGGUGUGUGUGUGUGUGUGUGUGUGUGUGGUGUGGGUCUGUAUGCAUCUGUGUGUCUGUGUGGUGUGUAGGUGGGGAGGUGUCUGUGUGGUGUGUGUGUGUGUGUGUAUUUUCUGUAUGUGUGUAUGUUUGUGUGUGUGUCUGUAGGUGGGUGGUCUCUGUGGUGUUUGUGUAUGUCUGGGUUUUCUGUUUAUGUUUGGUAUGUAUCUGUGUGGUAUGUAUGUGUCGUGGUGUGU
rnacentral:lncRNA from 1 species